rnacentral:rRNA from 1 species
GACUGUACAAAGGUAGCAUAAUCAUUUGUCUUUUAAUUGGAGACUGGAAUGAAUGGUUGGAUGAAAUAUAUACUUUCUUUAUUUUUAAUCAUGAAUUUAAUUUCUGAGUUAAAAAGCUUAGAUUUUAUUUAAGGACGAGAAGACCCUAUAGAACUUUAUAUUUUAUUUUAAGGUUUAAUUUUUGAUUAUUUAAAUGGUAUUUUAUUAUAAUAUGAAUUAUUUUGUUGGGGUGACAAAAAAAAUAUUUUAACUUUUUUUAUUUACUACAUAUAUUUAUGUUUUGUUGAUCCAGAUGUUUUGAUUAUAAGAUUAAGUUACCUUAGGGAUAACAGCGUUAUUAUUUUAAAGAGUUCAUAUCGAUAAAAUAGUUUGCGACCUCGAUGUUGGAUUAAAAUUAGUUAUGGGUGUAGGAGUUCAUUAAUAACUAGGUCUGUUCGACCUUUAAUAUUUUACA